rnacentral:rRNA from 1 species
UGGGGAAUAUUGGACAAUGGGCGCAAGCCUGAUCCAGCCAUGCCGCGUGAGUGAUGAAGGCCCUAGGGUUGUAAAGCUCUUUCACCGGUGAAGAUAAUGACGGUAACCGGAGAAGAAGCCCCGGCUAACUUCGUGCCAGCAGCCGCGGUAAUACGAAGGGGGCUAGCGUUGUUCGGAUUUACUGGGCGUAAAGCGCACGUAGGCGGACUAUUAAGUCAGGGGUGAAAUCCCGGGGCUCAACCCCGGAACUGCCUUUGAUACUGGUAGUCUUGAGUUCGAGAGGGGUGAGUGGAAUUCCGAGUGUAGAGGUGAAAUUCGUAGAUAUUCGGAGGAACACCAGUGGCGAAGGCGGCUCACUGGCUCGAUACUGACGCUGAGGUGCGAAAGCGUGGGGAGCAAACAGG